rnacentral:rRNA from 1 species
UACGGGGGGGGCAAGCGUUGUUCGGAAUUACUGGGCGUAAAGGGCUCGUAGGUCGCCAACUAAGUCAGACGUGAAAUCCCUCGGCUUAACCGGGGAACUGCGUCUGAUACUGGAUGGCUUGAGUUUGGGAGAGGGAUGCGGAAUUCCAGGUGUAGCGGUGAAAUGCGUAGAUAUCUGGAGGAACACCGGUGGCGAAGGCGGCAUCCUGGACCAACACUGACGCUGAGGAGCGAAAGCCAGGGGAGCAAACGGG